AGAGUUUGAUCCUGGCUCAGAUUGAACGCUGGCGGCAGGCCUAACACAUGCAAGUCGAACGGUAACAGGAAACAGCUUGCUGUUUCGCUGACGAGUGGCGGACGGGUGAGUAAUGUCUGGGAAACUGCCUGAUGGAGGGGGAUAACUACUGGAAACGGUAGCUAAUACCGCAUAACGUCGCAAGACCAAAGAGGGGGACCCUCGGGCCUCUUGCCAUCGGGUGUGCCCAGAUGGGAUUAGCUUGUUGGUGGGGUAACGGCUCACCAAGGCGACGAUCCCUAGCUGGUCUGAGAGGAUGACCAGCCACACUGGAACUGAGACACGGUCCAGACUCCUACGGGAGGCAGCAGUGGGGAAUAUUGCACAAUGGGCGCAAGCCUGAUGCAGCCAUGCCGCGUGUAUGAAGAAGGCCUUCGGGUUGUAAAGUACUUUCAGCGGGGAGGAAGGGAGUAAAGUUAAUACCUUUGCUCAUUGACGUUACCCGCAGAAGAAGCACCGGCUAACUCCGUGCCAGCAGCCGCGGUAAUACGGAGGGUGCAAGCGUUAAUCGGAAUUACUGGGCGUAAAGCGCACGCAGGCGGUUUGUUAAGUCAGAUGUGAAAUCCCCGGGCUCAACCUGGGAACUGCAUCUGAUACUGGCAAGCUUGAGUCUCGUAGAGGGGGGUAGAAUUCCAGGUGUAGCGGUGAAAUGCGUAGA
rnacentral:rRNA from 1 species